CCCGCACGGGAGGCGGGCAGCACCUACACCAUGUUGUGGUGAUUGUUCCUGUCAAUAAUGUCCACAGGGGAGAGAAUCUCCUUCCUGAUCGCAGUGGGAGGCAGGGUGAGUGUCGUCUUGGUCUUGAAGAGGUCCGACACAAAGAAUACCUAGGAGCACAAAGCAGAGAUCCAAAAUCCAGGGUGGAACUGAGAAAGAGCCAGUAUGAAUUCCUAUCAGCUGGUGGUGGAGUAAGGAUGCAGCGGUGACCACUUUGCCCUGAAAAGCCUAUGAUGUCAACCAUUUGAUGGGGUCAAGAAGCCAGGGCCUUGUUGCCUGCAGCCAUCAAAGCUGUACCGAAUCGAAUGCCUGCCAACCCCCGCAUUACCAUCGCCUUUCCUUCUGCACACAGGUAGUUCUAAUCUCUCGUAUCUUCACAGGACUAACCCUGCUCGAAGCCUCCCUGGCUUUGGCCACCCUCUACUCCAGUUUAUUUCCAGAAACAAGAUAAUUAAAACACUUCUCAUCAGGAUACUGAAAGAAACAAUCCUACAUGCAAGCUGGAUACAGUGCUUGGUACAAAGAAGGUCCUCAAAAGAUGUACCCCAAACACAGCCCCAUCCUCACCUUUUGGGUGGCUGUGAAGGAUUCCUGCCCAGUGUUGGCUUUAAAAUAAUCCAGUACUUUUCUUUUGGAACAAAAUAAAGGGGCAUGAAAGAAAUGAGCACAUCCCCAACUCCUCUAAGCCUUUCACAAAACACUGAAAUUACAUUUAUAAAAUUGCUUCCAGCCCUGACUAAAAUAUACACAUGGAGGAAGAACCUAAAUAUCUUUGCUAAGUUAUCUUUUCUCAGAGCAAAACAAAACAAAAAAAAUGAAGAAUGGAGGGAAGUGUUAUUCAUGAAUACAUAAGUUCUAGUUUAAAGUUUUUAAAGUGUUGGGCCACCUUUUAGCUCUGUCUUAGGCAGCAAGAACUCAGGGGCCCCCAAACUUGAAAAGACGUGGGGAAGAAGCAAAACAAAUGAUCUCUGUUGUUUUUCUACAAUUCCUAAUCAUGUUUUCAGAAUAAACCAAAAUCAAAACAGUCUUUUUCCAAACAGCUUAUGCCCUUCUGAGCUACGUCUGACCUCUCAGCACCCUGUUGCUCUGAACUGUACCAAAGCAGCCGAAAGCAGGAAGGGUCCUGGCACACAGACCUCAUUUGCGGAGGGGAAGGCAGGGAUGACCAUAUUCCACCAACAAAGAAAAACAGAGCGGCUCCUGUCGUCGUGCAGCUGGGGCAGGCAUGGGGUGGGGGCUGGGCACCUGUACUAUCCCAGCACCUCCAGGAAACCCAAGCAGACACAGCCAGGCAGAGGCAAUGUGGAGAUGCAUAUACCAGGUCACCACUGGUUGAAGGAACUGAAACAUGCUCCUUAAUCUCUCAGGACCAGAGUCUCUGGAUCCAAGAAAUGCAGACCCAGUGGAGUUCUGAGGCCACUCAUGUGUGCUCAUGGAUGCAGAAGUAUUUUAGGAGACUCCAAAUCACUCUCAGAAGUCAGGCACUGAGGGUCAGUCAAGCUUUUCCAUCAGCAGAGUAAGGAGGAAAACUGAGGGGGUGAAUACUACAAGGAAGUGGAACUGAGGGCUGGGACUUGAGUGACAGUUCUGGUGUUUAUGAAAGUGCAGGCAAUUCGCUUGGAGUUUCCAAGCCUUACUUGGUAACCUUUUCCCACAAUACAGAGAAUAUUUUUUAUAACACAGGUUGUUCUAAGGAUUCAACGACUUAAAUGGGUUAUUAGAAAGCAGUGCUUGUACCAUAAAAUAUUAUACAAAUGUCAUGAGCAGCGCAUAAUUUCAAAAUGGGCACACAAUCCUUAUCAAGCAACAUAGGAAACACUACUUUUAUCUGAAAAAUGGAAAAAACUUGGAUCAUAGAACAACUUCUGCUGUGGCAGAAUGAGCUCAGAACGAAACCUAACUGUCCUCACUAAACUCUUUCUCAGGGAUUUUACAGUGAGAUUGGUUCCUAGUUAUUCUGAGAGACUCAGGCUGGAACUAGACUGUGUUCAAAUAGA